UUAAGCUGCUGGGCUAUGUUCACAUGUAAUACUAAACCAUGGUUUAAUAAGCCAUGUUUCAUGCUAUGUGUGAACAAGGCAAAAGGAAGUGAUGGGCAAAUAAUGAUGCUGAAAUUCUGGAACAAAGAAGGGCAUUCUCUGUGAGAUACUGCUUGCUCUGUGGAGAAUGCUAAAUUACUCAGGCUGAAAUUCUAUACUCAGUUUCCUGAAUGUAAGUGCUAUUGAACUCAAUGGCGCUUACUUCUGAGUAGACAUGUCUUGGAUUGCAGUGACGUACAUCUACAUAAGUAGAAGAUAACACAAAAUUAUUCACAGGAAUGUGAGUGAGGCAGCUGGCUUGAACAGAUGAAAAACUGAUUCAAAUUGCUGAAAUGUGGAGAACUAAAUUCAAGACUGGAAAAUGAGAAGCUGAAAGAACCAAAAGUGACAGAUCCUUGCAUCCCUACUCAGGUGUCUUUGCCAGGCUCUGAGGCCAGAAGAGUCCUGACAGCAGGGGGAAAUGGCCAUUUGUACCAGAGAACAGGUGAGCACAGGAAGAGUUAAG